CAAACAUGAACGAAACGCCCGAUCAAAUAAUUUGAUUAAACGAUUGUGAGUCGAAUCGGUUGUUUGUUGCAAUGAUUGCCAUGUUGUGAUAUGUCUGAGCGGGUAAUAUAAAUGGUGGAAUUUAUCAACUAUUGCAUUUAUGCAUUAGCACAACUUUAUGGGCAGGAAUCUAUUAGAGUGGAGGUUGUAUUAGCUCUAGAAUGUUUUUAUCUAAGUUGCAUGUCUUUUCCGGUCUAUGCCGGUGGAUGCCAUAGAUAAAAUUAUCUAUAUAUUUCUUUUAUCUAUGGUGGAUGCUCUAGUAAAUAUCUCAGUCGCACACAUUAGUUAGUUCUACUUACGAUGGUCUCGGAAAGGUCAAACAUUGUUAUACUUACCUACAUCCAUUGAAGACAAGAUAGAUCAGAAAAAGACGAAAAAAUGUAAAAGUUUAGUACUCACAUCCAUUGUCAACUCACUCAAUACGAGUGACCACUGGCCACUUCCCACGCUGCAUCCCAUAAAAUACCAACUCAAUAAUCCAUUCCUGAUGAUAUCAAGCAAAUUACGCCCAACUUCCAAGUUAAAUCAACCGGAAGAUUUGUUCGCAGUUCAACUCUAAAGUUUACAAGACAUAAUUAAUCUGAGAUUAAAAUUGCCGAUCACGUGUCGCCAUCAGAAACACUGCGGAAAAUUAAAACUUGUUAAUUUGGUACCGACCGCGCAUUCGAUGUAACGCAUGAGGGAAUAUCAGUGGACAGAGGGCUUUGUUGAAAUCUAUCUUAUUAUUAACUUCGCCUGCGUGAAUUUCCCACUGAAAUAGUACAUUUUACGAGAUGAAAUAUAUCUAUAGCCACAUACUUAUAUAAUAACCUCAA